rnacentral:lncRNA from 1 species
GGGCGGCAGCGCCGAGGGGCAGGACGCGUGGGGGGCGCUGCCCGCCCGUCUGCGGGGCCUGCGGCUGGCGGAGCAGCAGCAGCAGCAGCAGCAGCAGCAGCAGCAGCAGCAGCAGCAACAACCGCCGCCGAUACAGAGCGAGCAGCGGCCCGUGGAAACCGCCCUGCAGCGCCCCCAGCCUCCUGCACCGCCCGUCGCCUGCGCGAGGGGUUUGGGCGAGAGGCUGUUCAAGAGAAGGUCAUGUUAGUCCAGUAGAAGUGUCAGCAGCAAGACCAUACCUGGUAUGAUUAUUCAAGGCUUAAUUUCUGAGUGUUCGGCCUGCGUGUGUUAUUUAUGUGAACGGUAGAGUCAUGUAGCAAUUAGAGAAACAAUUAAAUAAGUCUAUCUAAUGUGAUUGGAAGUGAAAGCAAAACAAACU